rnacentral:rRNA from 1 species
AACGAACGCUGGCGGCAUGCCUAACACAUGCAAGUCGAACGAGACCUUCGGGUCUAGUGGCGCACGGGUGCGUAACGCGUGGGAACCUGCCCUUAGGUUCGGAAUAACUCCCCGAAAGGGGUGCUAAUACCGGAUAAUGUCUUCGGACCAAAGAUUUAUCGCCUUUGGAUGGGCCCGCGUUGGAUUAGCUAGUUGGUAGGGUAAAAGCCUACCAAGGCGACGAUCCAUAGCUGGUCUGAGAGGAUGAUCAGCCACGCUGGGACUGAGACACGGCCCAGACUCCUACGGGAGGCAGCAGUGGGGAAUAUUGGAGAAUGGGCGAAAGCCUGAUCCAGCAAUGCCGCGUGAGUGAUGAAGGCCUUAGGGUUGUAAAGCUCUUUUACCCGGGAUGAUAAUGACAGUACCGGGAGAAUAAGCUCCGGCUAACUCCGUG